rnacentral:rRNA from 1 species
AGAGUUUGAUCCUGGCUCAGGAUGAACGCUGGCGGCGUGCCUAAUACAUGCAAGUCGAGCGAACAGAUAAGGAGCUUGCUCCUUUGACGUUAGCGGCGGACGGGUGAGUAACACGUGGGUAACCUACCUAUAAGACUGGAAUAACUCCGGGAAACCGGGGCUAAUGCCGGAUAACAUGUUGAACCGCAUGGUUCUACAGUGAAAGGCGGCUUUGCUGUCACUUAUAGAUGGACCCGCGCCGUAUUAGCUAGUUGGUGAGGUAACGGCUCACCAAGGCAACGAUACGUAGCCGACCUGAGAGGGUGAUCGGCCACACUGGAACUGAGACACGGUCCAGACUCCUACGGGAGGCAGCAGUAGGGAAUCUUCCGCAAUGGGCGAAAGCUGACGGAGCAACGCCGCGUGAGUGAUGAAGGUCUUCGGAUCGUAAAACUCUGUUAUUAGGGAAGAACAAAUGCGUAAGUAACUGUGCGCGUCUUGACGGUACCUAAUCAGAAAGCCACGGCUAACUACGUGCCAGCAGCCGCGGUAAUACGUAGGUGGCAAGCGUUAUCCGGAAUUAUUGGGCGUAAAGCGCGCGUAGGCGGUUUUUUAAGUCUGAUGUGAAAGCCCACGGCUCAACCGUGGAGGGUCAUUGGAAACUGAAAAACUUGAGUGCAGAAGAGGAAAGUGGAAUUCCAUGUGUAGCGGUGAAAUGCGCAGAGAUAUGGAGGAACACCAGUGGCGAAGGCGACUUUCUGGUCUGUAACUGACGCUGAUGUGCGAAAGCGUGGGGAUCAAACAGGAUUAGAUACCCUGGUAGU